rnacentral:rRNA from 1 species
GACGUAGGGCGCGAGCGUUGUCCGGAUUUAUUGGGCGUAAAGAGCUCGUAGGCGGUGUGUCGCGUCGGCCGUGAAAACCUGCAGCUUAACUGUGGGCUUGCGGUCGAUACGGGCAUCACUGGAGUUCGGCAGGGGAGACUGGAAUUCCUGGUGUAGCGGUGAAAUGCGCAGAUAUCGGGAGGAACACCGGUGGCGAAGGCGGUUCUCUGGGCCUUACCUGACGCUGAGGAGCGAAAGCGUGGGGAGCGAACAGG